UAAAAAUCUUUUAAUCACAUUACAGUCGUACAUCAACACAAUACAUGUAUACCUAAUAUGUCAGUGUUUUAGUUAAUCAACAAAAUAUUAGCAAGGUGAGUUGUAAAUUAAAUCAAUAAUUAAUAUUAAUGAUGUAGUAGCAUAAACCUCUGUUUUAAGUACCACAAUAGAUGUGACAGUAUAUAAUACCGAGAUAAUUUAUAAACAGGUGCAGGUAUAGAUGAAAGAUAUGGAAUGCUAUUUACCAGAAUAGAGAAUAAAAUUGUCAUAUUCUCAACUUAAAAUGCGGGAUUAUUUCAACUUGAGGUGUAGCCUCACACAAAACAUUUCAGAUCUGGGUUUACAGGUAGAAACUCUGGUCUGGGUAUCUGACUUACAGAUCUGGGUUUACAGGUAGAAACUCGGGUCUGAGUAUCUGACUUACAGAUCUGGGUUUACAGGUAGAAACUCGGGUCUGAGUAUCUGACUUACAAUCUGUAUAGGUCCAAUACACAGAGCCCUACCAAGCUAAUAAAUCUAACUGUAUGCUCAGAUGAACAAUCUCUAUAUCAUAUAUUUGCUGACUAUGGAUUUUGGCAAAAUUGUUGUUUGUAUAAAAUAUUCCCAUAAAAAUGUACUCGCAGAGGAACAUUCUCAUACAUGUACUUAAAAAAUACCUCCUUCAUCUUUAUGUAAACUAUAUAUCAUCACAUAACUUGCUUUAGAAGAAAUCACUAGUAAAUAUAGAGGAGAAAAGCCCUAGUUCUGACCCAAAUCCUUCACUCUCUGGACAAAUUUCACUAUACAGCAAAAUCUAAAAGUUCAGCAUAGAUGACUGAAUAUUAGCAAUUUUAACUGAUAAGAUACAAUUUUGGAAAAAAUCAAAAUCCUUACAAAUUCAGUAGGUGAUUCUUUACAAACUACAGAUGAAAAGAAACAUUUGUAGUUUAACCAUCUUUACUGAAACACACACGAAUUAAAACCAUAGUUCUAUGUAAUUUAGACAUAACAACAUAAUCAUUAUAAAAUAACAUACUGUCCUAUCAAUAAAUUGUAAAAGUUUUUUAAAAGGGAAAAUCCAAAUAGGAUUUACAGAAAAAGUGCAAAAAACAUCAAAAUAAUUUCUAGCACAAGUGUAAGUCGUCAAACUAUUAACCAUUUAUACAGGCUAUAUCACUCCAAUCUCAUUGUCUCUGUUGUGGUCUUUUAUAACCAAGAAGAAGAUAUACAUAUGGUGUUUGACAUGGACAAAAAAGGAACUCGCAGCACCCCAUGUCCCAUGUCCUUCUAAGGAAGGUCUCCAGCCAUGUGUGGACGUCCCCCAAGGGGGAUUUGGCCCACUGUCUUUGCACAUGUAAAAUGAACGUGACACAAGGCCAACACUAAUAGCAGUGUCUUUUCCUUCCUGACUUAGAGUUACUUCCCCCUGAGGUAUUUACCAUCAACAGAACAUUAUGCAUUUAUAAUAGGAACAUUAUUUCACAGUAGUGAAAAGGUUCAGAGAAAGACCUAUGUAGCUUUUCCGGUCUUACAUUCUCUUCUUGUUUCCAAUAACUCAAAUUCCAACAGCUAUAAAUUCUGUCAAGUUCAUUUUGACAUUUGAUUUGAUGGCAUAGACUUUUGUAGAAAAGUAUUUAGAUGUUUUACGAUAGGAACACCAGUAACAAUCAUCAUAUAUAAUUCACUGAAUUCGUAAAAAAAAAAGAACAAAAAAACAAACAAACGAAAAAACGAAAGAAUGGAAAUUUUUUUUCCCACUGUUGAAUCAAUCUGUUAAUCUCCCUUACAAACUUAGUCUCGGAAUUGAGAAAUAUCAUGCAGCUUCUCUGAUGUAAUACAACAAGGAUUGGAUUAUGAUUGACAUCAAAAGUGAUGCCUACUUCCUCCUGCAAUAUGCUGACCUUGUGAACCUUUAGCUGGUCAAAAUAAUUCACACGCACGAUUUCACAGAGGUAGCUCUUUUUGUCUUGUCAAAAAUGAA